ACUCAAAGGAAUAGACGGGGGCCCGCACAAGCGGUGGAGCAUGUGGUUUAAUUCGACGCAACGCGCAGAACCUUACCAGCCCUUGACAUCCCGGUCGCGGACUCCAGAGACGGAGUUCUUCAGUUCGGCUGGACCGGAGACAGGUGCUGCAUGGCUGUCGUCAGCUCGUGUCGUGAGAUGUUGGGUUAAGUCCCGCAACGAGCGCAACCCUCGUCCUUAGUUGCUACCAUUCAGUUGAGCACUCUAAGGAGACUGCCGGUGAUAAGCCGGAGGAAGGUGGGGACGAGGUCAAGUCCUCAUGGCCCUUACGGGCUGGGCUACACACGUGCUACAAUGGCGGUGACAAUGGGACGCAAAGGCGCAAGCCCCAGCAAAUCUCAAAAAGCCGUCUCAGUUCGGAUUGGGCUCUGCAACUCGAGCCCAUGAAGUUGGAAUCGCUAGUAAUCGUGGAUCAGCAUGCCACGGUGAAUACGUUCCCGGGCCUUGUACACACCGCCCGU
rnacentral:rRNA from 1 species